rnacentral:tRNA from 1 species
GGGCCAUUAGUCUAGUGGUUUAAUGAUGCUUCGUUCACGUCGAAGAGACAGCAGUUCGAUUCUGCUAUGGCCCA